rnacentral:rRNA from 1 species
AGAGUUUGAUCCUGGCUCAGGAUCAACGCUGGCGGCGUGCCUAAUGCAUGCAAGUCGAGCGCGGGCCCCUUCGGGGGUGCUGCGCGGCGGACGGGUGCGUAACACGUGGGCAACCUGCCCUGGGGUGGGGGAUAGCCGUGGGAAACCGCGGGUAAUUCCGCAUACGUUGCUUCUUCGCCCGGGAGGAGCAAGAAAGGCGCUUCGGCGUCGCCCUUGGAGGGGCCUGCGGCCGAUUAGCUGGACGGUGGGGUCACGGCCUACCGUGGCGAUGAUCGGUAGCUGGUCUGAGAGGACGGCCAGCCACACGGGGACUGCGACACGGCCCCGACUCCUACGGGAGGCAGCAGCAAGGAAUCUUCCGCAAUGGGGGCAACCCUGACGGAGCAACGCCGCGUGGGGGAUGACGCCCUUCGGGGUGUAAACCCCUUUUCUGCGGGAAGAAGGUGGGGCAACCCACUUGACGGUACCGCAGGAAGAAGGACCGGCUAACUACGUGCCAGCAGCCGCGGUAAGACGGAGGAUGCAAGCGUUAUCCGGAAUGAUUGGGCGUAAAGCGUCCGCAGGUGGCAGUUCAAGUCUGCUGUCAAAGACCGGGGCUUAACUUCGGAAAGGCAGUGGAAACUGAACAGCUAGAGUAUGGUAGGGGCAGAGGGAAUUCCUGGUGUAGCGGUGAAAUGCGUAGAGAUCAGGAAGAACAUCGGUGGCGAAGGCGCUCUGCUGGACCAUAACUGACACUCAGGGACGAAAGCUAGGGGAGCGAAUGGGAUUAGAUACCCCCGUAGUCC